rnacentral:rRNA from 1 species
UACGGGGGGGGCAAGCGUUGUUCGGAAUUAUUGGGCGUAAAGAGCUCGUAGGCGGUUCGGUAAGUCAGGUGUGAAAUCUCCACGCUCAACGUGGAGGCGCACCUGAAACUGCGCGGCUUGAGGUAGGUAGGGGAGAUCGGAAUUCCUGGUGUAGCGGUGGAAUGCGCAGAUAUCAGGAGGAACACCGGUGGCGAAGGCGGAUCUCUGGGCCUUACCUGACGCUGAGACGCGAAAGCUAGGGGAGCGAACAGG